rnacentral:rRNA from 1 species
GUCCUUGCCGUAAACGAUGUGGAUUAGGUGUCGGGGUGUCGAUCCCUCCGGCGCCGACGCUAACGCAUUAAAUCCACCACCUGGGGAGUACGGUCGCAAGACUGAAACUCAAAGAAAUUGACGGGGACCCGCACAAGCGGUGGAGCAUGUGGUUUUAAUUCGAGGCUACGCGAAGAACCUUACCCAGGCUUGACAUGUUUAGGACAACGUAUGAAAGUACGUCUUCCCGCAAGGGACCUUUUACACAGGUGCUGCAUGGCUGUCGU